ensembl:lincRNA
CAAGACCCCAAGAGAUGGACUUUCCUCUCCCCUUCCUUCUUUCAGAACUGGCAUCCUUCAUCUCUGUCUUUGCAGGCCCAAUUAUACAGAUCCUCGGGGCUUCAAUAGGGUCUGAGUCAUUGGAACCAGGAACACCUGACUGAAACAUUCCACAUAAUUAGAUUUUCUUUUUCUUUACCUUUUCUUUCUUUUUUUUUUUUUUUUUAAAUAAGAGGUCUAGAAUUAGCCUUUUCGACUGGGGCGGAGUAGCUGGGGUGGGGGAAAGGAACACCUUCAUACAACUUCCAGCUUUCAGCCCCUUGGAGAGAUCUCCAAGUUCCCCCGAGCCGCCGGGACUUCCUUUCCUCGAUCUCUCGGCCGCCUCCUCCUCCUUCUCCGAUCGUGUUUUUUUUUUUUUUUUCUCCCUCCCGUCACUGUCUUCUCUGCGGUUUAAUUAAAGUUCAGCGACUCCACUUGCCUCUCCUCUCAUUUCUUUCGGAAAGCGGAAACCAGACGACCCAGCGGCCACGGGCCGAGCCGCCCCAACUCAACCCCAGCAGGACGCUGGAGGGGCCUCCCUCGCCUGCCUCCCUUCGCCGGCGCUGGCCUCCCGCACCCGGGUCUGCAGUCCCUCCGCCAUCUCGCAGGCCUGGCAGAAAGGAAAAGCAGGAAGAUGGGGUUGCAGAGGCCCUUAUCCCGGCAGGCCUGGAUGUGGGCUCUGCUGGAUUGGCUCUCCGUUCAAAGAGCUACAGAACUGACACCAGAGAGAGAAGAGAAGAAAAACCAGGAGGACUGCAGGGAGACCCAAGGGCUCCUGACCUUGGAGGGGCGAUGAGCAAACUCCAGAUGGGCUUUAGUUUCUUUCUGCUCCCCAAGCUCCAAAGGGCUCUGAGCUCCUUGAGCUGUGCAGAUUUUAAAAUGUUGGAGGGCUUCUCACAGGUCUGUGGUUCAGAGUUCACCGCCCCCAUUUUUAAUUAUCAAGAGGCAGCUAAAACUCCAAUACCCGAGCAGCCACAAGCUGCAGGAGAAAAAUCAAAAUGGGGCUGGCAAUGCUGGGUGGAGAAAAGCAGGCUGAGAGGGGUGGUCAGCUCUAUCAACAAGAUUGGUAAGAGGUAGACUUUUUUUUUUUUUUUUUUUUUUUACCAAAUCCCCCAAAUGUUUGUUUUGGGCUCCUGCCCAUCCAGAUAAAUCAAGCUAACAGAUUAGGAAGUUCAUAAAAUUGUAUUCUUAGGUAAUGACAUCCAGAGAGGUAAUAAAUAUUCCCUCUGCUCUGGUGGCCGCUGGAGUUCUGGUGUUCGGGGAUCUUCCAUCUCUCGUUCCAAGCCUGAGAGGGGUCUCUUGGAAGCGGAACAUUUAAAUUAAAAUUAGCUCUCCAUAGGUAUGGUGCCAGAUAGAAGCUGUGGAAAACCCAGAGCGGUGGUUUUGUGAGUGCAAUAGCAUGCUCCCCGCGACUGGGCAAAAGCAGAGAAAAGAUGGUACAGUUGCUCCAGCGCACUGCUCCUCCGGGUCAUAGCACCCUUGAUCUUAAGGGCCCCUUUCAGAGUCAGUCUCCCCUAAUCCUAGAAAAGCAGAGAAGGACACCCUGGCCCCAAGCUCCCAGCAAACCUUUUAAUUGUUUUCACUUCCCUACCACUCCCCCAACACACACACACACACACACACACACACACACACACACACACACACCCCUAGCUGUGGGAAGCUGUCUCUGGAUUUCAAUCUGCCAAAUCCAAGCAGAAAGAAAACUGAAGCACAGAUUGCAGAGAAAACUUCGUAGGAAACUUUACACAAACAACAGCAAGAGACCCUCGGACAGGGAAAGUGCCCCAGUCCUUUUCCCUCAGUCUGACUUUCUCAGACUCUCUCUUUUUUGAGCCAAAUUUCUUUACUCCCCAGGUACACAGACUCGGCACAGAAACGUCUUUUUCUCCAAGCAGAACCCCUCCGCUCACAAUUGGAUUUCCCGCCUUCACUCCCUAACACCGGGGAUCGUGACAAAAAUUGACUGGCAAAUAGAGUUUAAACUUUUGUGCUCCUCACCCCCAGAGCAGACCGAGUGCUAACUACUUACAUGUCAAAGGGAUCUUUGGCCUGUGGGGAUCUCCUGGCACUUGGAGAGAAGGAACCCUGGAAGAUCGGUGUCGCCGUUUCACCCGUCUUCUUUUUACUUAGCCAUUGAAGACAGAGGGAUACAAUGCACUUACAGGCAUUCAUGCGCCUUGCCUCUCCCAUUACUCUGGGCAAGAAAUCCCCAGUCCUACAAAAGCAGUGGCAUCCUAUCUGGAGACCAGGGCUGAGCAAGGGCUGGCUUGGGAGGGUCAGAGAUGGGGGUGGGGGAGAGGUCAGAGGCGCUGCAGAAUAUAAAGGCAAUGGGAGAGAAAAUGCUGUGUCCUCCCCGUGAACCUGGGCUGUGUCCUCCCCCCAGCCUUUCCCCACUGCUCAACCCAACUUAAAUAAAAGCUCAGCCCUCAGCUUCCAGUGAGGCUGUAGCAGCAUCAGGCAGAGCAGCAGGGACCAAGACUGCUGGGGCUUGCGGCCCUUGGCCCAGAUUGCCCCCCCCCAACCCUGCCUUGCCAUUCUGGGUGUCGAAGUCCAAGGCAAAGGAGAACUUUGGGGAAAGGGGAGAAAAUGGAGCCCACUGGAGGGAAGGCCAGAGGACAAAAUCUUCAAACUCAAAUGUAAGGGAUUUUAGUUUGGGUUCAUUUGUCAAGAAUUAUGGAUUUCUGAUGUUUCUCCUUUUCGGACCAUAAAGGACAGAAGGAGACACACAGAGAAUGACCAUGUAUGUGAGGGAAGAGGAAGAAGAAACAGAAGACAUAAAGAAGGGGAAAUAAAAUAAGUGUUCCAACCCUUUUAUGCUGCUUUUCCUCAACUAGAGUGUUCCUUCAGCAAUUUCAGGCAAAAACUUAGGAAAUAAAAUGUAGUAAUUUUCCCCCUCCUCACUCUCAUCUCUUCCACUUUUGGGAGGAGAGGGAUAAACUCCCUGAAAGUCACACGAGCAAACUUAGGAAAGAACCAUGGAUCUCAAUUUACCCCUUCCCUGCUUUCCAUCUUGGCUCCUUUACAGGCUUGAAAAGACACCCUGGUGCCCUUAGACCUUCCUUCCCUUUUCACAAGCGCAGCUAGAACCCCCUUUUUCUGUUCCAAGGGCAAUCGCCUCAAGACGAUAGGGGCUACAGUUGGAUUUGGCCCCUAAUUCACUUGAUCACAUAAAAAACUCCAGAUAAUUGUUGGCCUGCCUCCUCGCACUGUAGGCAGCAUGUUUUGUUGUCUCCAGGGUACCACUGAGGGAGGAAAAGUAGACCUAAAGGACUAAGAGAUUCCCCCCAACACACACACUUGUGAGGGCAUGCAUACACACACACACACACACACACACACACACGCACACACAGCAAGUAACAUCCAGCAAGUGGUUCAAAAGGAAAUAAAUUCAAAUCACACCAAUGUGAUUUGUACAACUUAGUGCUGCUGUUGCCUUUCACUCCAGAAUUUGGGGAUGGGGGAAGGGGUAUCCCUGGCUUCCCUGCAUGCCCUAGAUCUCUUCUCCCUCUGUCUUCUACUUCCAAUUGCCUUUCUUCUUGAAAUAUAGAUAAAUUAUCUG